rnacentral:misc_RNA from 1 species
UACGGAGGGUGCGAGCGUUAAUCGGAAUGACUGGGCGUAAAGGGCAUGUAGGCGGAAAGGCAAGUUAGGUGUGAAAUCCCUGGGCUCAACCUAGGAACAGCAUUUAAAACUGCUUAUCUAGAAUACUGUAGAGGAAGGUAGAAUUCCAUGUGUAGCGGUGAAAUGCGUAGAGAUAUGGAGGAAUACCGGUGGCGAAGGCGGCCUUCUGGACAGAUAUUGACGCUGAGAUGCGAAAGCGUGGGUAGCAAACAGG